AUCGUCUUAGUGGGCUUGGGUUGA
rnacentral:siRNA from 1 species